UACGUAGGGUCCGAGCGUUGUUCGGAAUUACUGGGCGUAAAGGGCUCGUAGGCGGCCAACUAAGUCAGACGUGAAAUCCCUCAGCUUAACUGGGGAACUGCGUCUGAUACUGGCAGGCUCGAGUUCGGGAGAGGGAUGCAGAAUUCCAGGUGUAGCGGUGAAAUGCGUAGAUAUCUGGAGGAAUACCGGUGGCGAAGGCGGCAUCCUGGACCGGCAUUGACGCUGAGGAGCGAAAGCUAGGGGAGCAAACGGG
rnacentral:rRNA from 1 species